UUGGCCAAUCCCUCGCAGUGGGUACGAGCCAGAUAUAAGGAACAAGCAAGCAAGCAAGACUUAAAAAAGAACUGAGCCUUUACUGGUGACAGAAGGUGCCAAACAGAGUCUCCUGCAGAAGCAAAACGUAUAAGGUCGCGGAGGUUGCAGAUGACGCCAGGAAUCUCCUGGCUUGUCUGAAAUCCUUGCGAGACCACGAGACGCGCGGAAUCGCCCUCGACCCUCAACAGCUCAGGCACCUGCGUAAGGCCUACCUGUACUUGUUUGACGAGGACAUCACGCGCAAAGAUAAGCCGCUGUGGGGUUGGCGAUUAUGGCAAGCGAGAGCCGACCGUGUUCUCGACAAAGCACGCCGGAUCCUGGACGUGGUUGAGCGGAUAAACUGCAUGACGGGCAUUGGCAUCAUGCCUGACAAGGACGACAAGGAGAAACGAGUCAAGUUCAAGAACGAGCUUGCUGGGCUACUUUUAGAAGUACACGUUCUGGAUCAGCACCUCAUUGACGAGUAGGCAAGUCCCUGGGGCAAAGAAGACGUCGAAAUUCUUAGCCAGCUAGUGGUUAAUUUAACCGUGUCUGGAUGCGGCAAAAACUAUUGAGACAUAUUCAAAUCGCGGCUUGAUUCCAUCUACAAGACGGAAUCGUUAAGCAGUGGUGACUUAAACCGGGGUCCAGAUGAUCUAGUGAAAUAAUAAAAGAAGAUCUAGUGAAAAGGUAUUUCAGGCAAUCUGUGCCCUAGGACCACAUUGUUUCACAUAUUUCUCUUAAAAAAAGAAGCUCUAGUGAAAAGGUAUUUGAGCCUUUCGGCAUUUCUGAUUACUCAUAUUGUGCCUAUAUGCCUAUAUAUAUUCGUGAAAAUAAUUUGUUGAUAUGCAGGAGUGCUUGAACAACUUUCAUGGAGUUGAAAGUUUGGCUCCACUAAAACACUGAAGUGCACAUGUAGAGUACUGAAAGGAAUUGGCACAUCUGCAACCGUCUGCCUCAUGUUCCUGGACUUUACUUAUACAAUGGAUUUUUUUUCGCUUACACUCAAAUAGACAGCAUUACUCACUCCAGCCUUCGGCGUAUGUUCAACCAGUGUACUGUCUCUAGUUCCCUGCCAAUUUUAUCAUUUUCCGAGCAUUAUAGCACAGUAUUUCUUGACUUGAUUUGAUUGAAU